rnacentral:rRNA from 1 species
AAUAGCACCGGCUAACUCUGUGCCAGCAGCCGCGGUAAUACAGAGGGUGCAAGCGUAAUCGGAAUACUGGGCGUAAAGCGCGCGUAGGCGGUUGUUAAGUCGGAUGUGAAAUCCCCGGGCUCAACCUGGGCACGGCAUCCGAUACUGGCUGACUAGAGUGUGGGAGAGGAAGGUAGAAUUUCCAGGUGUAGCGGUGAAAUGCGUAGAGAUCUGGAGGAAUACCGAUGGCGAAGGCAGCCUUUCUGGCCUGACACUGACGCUGAGGUGCGAAAGCAUGGGGAGCAAACAGGAUUAGAUACCCUGGUAGUCCAUGCCGUAAACGAUGUCAACUAGCCGUUGGGGACCUUGAGUCUUUAGUGGCGCAGCUAACGCGAUAAGUUGACCGCCUGGGGAGUACGGCCGCAAGGUUAAAACUCAAAUGAAUUGACGGGGGCCCGCACAAGCGGUGGAGUAUGUGGUUUAAUUCGAUGCAACGCGAAGAACCUUACCUGGCCUUGACAUAUCCGGAAUCCUGCAGAGAUGCGGGAGUGCCUUCGGGAAUCGGAAUACAGGUGCUGCAUGGCUGUCGUCAGCUCGUGUCGUGAGAUGUUGGGUUAAGUCCCGCAACGAGCGCAACCCUUGUCCUUAGUUGCCAGCACGUAAUGGUGGGAACUCUAAGGAGACUGCCGGUGACAAACCGGAGGAAGGCGGGGACGACGUCAAGUCAUCAUGGCCCUUACGGCCAGGGCUACACACGUACUACAAUGGUCGGUACAAAGGGUUGCUAGCCUGCGAAGGUACGCUAAUCUCAAAAAAGCCGAUCGUAGUCCAGAUUGGAGUCUGCAACUCGACUCCAUGAAGUCGGAAUCGCUAGUAAUCGCGGAUCAGAAUGCCGCGGUGAAUACGUUCCCGGGCCUUGUACACACCGCCCGUCACACCAUGGGAGUCUAUUGCACCAGAAGUAGCUAGCUUAACCUUCGGGAGGGCGGUUACCACGGUGUGGUCGAUGACUGGGGUGAAGUCGUAACAAGGUAACCGAAUCUCUGAAGAUCCGCGCA